UACGGCAGGGGCAAGCGUUGUUCGGAAUCCUUGGGCGUAAAGGGCGCGUAGGUGGUUCUGUAUGUCUACUGUGAAAGCGUACGGCUCAACCGUAUUUUGUCGGUGGAAACUGCAGGACUUGAGGCUGGGAGGGGCUGGUGGAAUUCCCUGUGUAGCGGUGAAAUGCGUAGAGAUGGGGGAGAACACUCGUGGCGAAGGCGGCCAGCUAGACCAGUUCUGACACUGAGGCGCGACAGCGUGGGGAGCAAACAGG
rnacentral:rRNA from 1 species